rnacentral:rRNA from 1 species
AAGAAUAGGAAGAAUAAAUGACGGUACUAUUUGUAAGGUCCGGCUAACUACGUGCCAGCAGCCGCGGUAAUACGUAGGGACCAAGCGUUGUUCGGAUUUACUGGGCGUAAAGGGCGCGUAGGCGGCGUGUCAAGUCAAUUGUGAAAUCUCCGAGCUUAACUCGGAACGGUCAAUUGAUACUGAUGUGCUAGAGUGCAGAAGAGGCGAUCGGAAUUCUUGGUGUAGCGGUGAAAUGCGUAGAUAUCAAGAGGAACACCUGAGGUGAAGACGGGUUGCUGGGCUGACACUGACGCUGAGGCGCGAAAGCUAGGGUAGCAAACGGGAUUAGAUACCCCGGUAGUCCUAGCCCUAAACGAUGAAUACUUGGUGUCUGGAGUUUUAAUUCUCCGGGUGCCGUCGCUAACGUUUUUAGUAUUCCGCCUGGGGAGUACGCACGCAAGUGUGAAACUCAAAGGAAUUGACGGGGACCCGCACAAGCGGUGGAGCAUGUGGUUUAAUUCGACGCAACGCGAAGAACCUUACCUGAACUAGAAUGCGAGGGAAGAUUGGUUAAUGCCAAUCGUCGGGCAACCGACCCAAAGCAAGGUGCUGNUUGGCUGUCGUCAGCUCGUGUCGU